GAAAUAUUGGUUCCUGUAUGAUCACCGAAGUUAAGCAACAUUGAUCCUGGCCAGUACCUAGAUAGGUGACCGCUUGGAAAUACCAGGUGUUGUAAG